rnacentral:rRNA from 1 species
GUGAGGAAUAUUGGUCAAUGGACGAGAGUCUGAACCAGCCAAGUCGCGUGAAGGAAGACGGUUCUAUGAAUUGUAAACUUCUUUUGUGCAGGAAUAAAGUGGGUUACGUGUAACCUUUUGUAUGUACUGUACGAAUAAGGAUCGGCUAACUCCGUGCCAGCAGCCGCGGUAAUACGAAGGAUCCGAGCGUUAUCCGGAUUUAUUGGGUUUAAAGGGUGCGUAGGUGGAUUGAUAAGUCAGCGGUGAAAGUUUGCAGCUUAACUGUAAAAUUGCCGUUGAAACUGUCGGUCUUGAGUGCAAAUGAGGUAGGCGGAAUGUGUUGUGUAGCGGUGAAAUGCUUAGAUAUAACACAGAACUCCGAUUGCGAAGGCAGCUUACUGGGAUGCAACUGACACUGAUGCACGAAAGCGUGGGUAUCAAACAGGAUUAGGAACCCUUGUAGUCC